GGGUUGUGAGGUUAAGCGACUAAGCGUACACGGUGGAUGCCCUGGCAGUCAGAGGCGAUGAAGGACGUGCUAAUCUGCGAUAAGCGUCGGUAAGGUGAUAUGAACCGUUAUAACCGGCGAUUUCCGAAUGGGGAAACCCAGUGUGAUUCGUCACACUAUCAUUAACUGAAUCCAUAGGUUAAUGAGGCGAACCGGGGGAACUGAAACAUCUAAGUACCCCGAGGAAAAGAAAUCAACCGAGAUUCCCCCAGUAGCGGCGAGCGAACGGGGAGCAGCCCAGAGCCUGAAUCAGUGUGUGUGUUAGUGGAAGCGUCUGGAAAGGCGUGCGAUACAGGGUGACAGCCCCGUACACAAAAAUGCACAUGCUGUGAGCUCGAUGAGUAGGGCGGGACACGUGGUAUCCUGUCUGAAUAUGGGGGGACCAUCCUCCAAGGCUAAAUACUCCUGACUGACCGAUAGUGAACCAGUACCGUGAGGGAAAGGCGAAAAGAACCCCGGCGAGGGGAGUGAAAAAGAACCUGAAACCGUGUACGUACAAGCAGUGGGAGCACAGAGCAAUCUGUGUGACUGCGUACCUUUUGUAUAAUGGGUCAGCGACUUAUAUUCUGUAGCAAGGUUAACCGAAUAGGGGAGCCGAAGGGAAACCGAGUCUUAACUGGGCGUUAAGUUGCAGGGUAUAGACCCGAAACCCGGUGAUCUAGCCAUGGGCAGGUUGAAGGUUGGGUAACACUAACUGGAGGACCGAACCGACUAAUGUUGAAAAAUUAGCGGAUGACUUGUGGCUGGGGGUGAAAGGCCAAUCAAACCGGGAGAUAGCUGGUUCUCCCCGAAAGCUAUUUAGGUAGCGCCUCGUGAAUUCAUCUCCGGGGGUAGAGCACUGUUUCGGCAAGGGGGUCAUCCCGACUUACCAACCCGAUGCAAACUGCGAAUACCGGAGAAUGUUAUCACGGGAGACACACGGCGGGUGCUAACGUCCGUCGUGAAGAGGGAAACAACCCAGACCGCCAGCUAAGGUCCCAAAGUCAUGGUUAAGUGGGAAACGAUGUGGGAAGGCCCAGACAGCCAGGAUGUUGGCUUAGAAGCAGCCAUCAUUUAAAGAAAGCGUAAUAGCUCACUGGUCGAGUCGGCCUGCGCGGAAGAUGUAACGGGGCUAAACCAUGCACCGAAGCUGCGGCAGCGACGCUUAUGCGUUGUUGGGUAGGGGAGCGUUCUGUAAGCCUGCGAAGGUGUGCUGUGAGGCAUGCUGGAGGUAUCAGAAGUGCGAAUGCUGACAUAAGUAACGAUAAAGCGGGUGAAAAGCCCGCUCGCCGGAAGACCAAGGGUUCCUGUCCAACGUUAAUCGGGGCAGGGUGAGUCGACCCCUAAGGCGAGGCCGAAAGGCGUAGUCGAUGGGAAACAGGUUAAUAUUCCUGUACUUGGUGUUACUGCGAAGGGGGGACGGAGAAGGCUAUGUUGGCCGGGCGACGGUUGUCCCGGUUUAAGCGUGUAGGCUGGUUUUCCAGGCAAAUCCGGAAAAUCAAGGCUGAGGCGUGAUGACGAGGCACUACGGUGCUGAAGCAACAAAUGCCCUGCUUCCAGGAAAAGCCUCUAAGCAUCAGGUAACAUCAAAUCGUACCCCAAACCGACACAGGUGGUCAGGUAGAGAAUACCAAGGCGCUUGAGAGAACUCGGGUGAAGGAACUAGGCAAAAUGGUGCCGUAACUUCGGGAGAAGGCACGCUGAUAUGUAGGUGAAGUCCCUCGCGGAUGGAGCUGAAAUCAGUCGAAGAUACCAGCUGGCUGCAACUGUUUAUUAAAAACACAGCACUGUGCAAACACGAAAGUGGACGUAUACGGUGUGACGCCUGCCCGGUGCCGGAAGGUUAAUUGAUGGGGUCAGCGCAAGCGAAGCUCUUGAUCGAAGCCCCGGUAAACGGCGGCCGUAACUAUAACGGUCCUAAGGUAGCGAAAUUCCUUGUCGGGUAAGUUCCGACCUGCACGAAUGGCGUAAUGAUGGCCAGGCUGUCUCCACCCGAGACUCAGUGAAAUUGAACUCGCUGUGAAGAUGCAGUGUACCCGCGGCAAGACGGAAAGACCCCGUGAACCUUUACUAUAGCUUGACACUGAACAUUGAGCCUUGAUGUGUAGGAUAGGUGGGAGGCUUUGAAGUGUGGACGCCAGUCUGCAUGGAGCCGACCUUGAAAUACCACCCUUUAAUGUUUGAUGUUCUAACGUUGACCCGUGAUCCGGGUUGCGGACAGUGUCUGGUGGGUAGUUUGACUGGGGCGGUCUCCUCCUAAAGAGUAACGGAGGAGCACGAAGGUUGGCUAAUCCUGGUCGGACAUCAGGAGGUUAGUGCAAUGGCAUAAGCCAGCUUGACUGCGAGCGUGACGGCGCGAGCAGGUGCGAAAGCAGGUCAUAGUGAUCCGGUGGUUCUGAAUGGAAGGGCCAUCGCUCAACGGAUAAAAGGUACUCCGGGGAUAACAGGCUGAUACCGCCCAAGAGUUCAUAUCGACGGCGGUGUUUGGCACCUCGAUGUCGGCUCAUCACAUCCUGGGGCUGAAGUAGGUCCCAAGGGUAUGGCUGUUCGCCAUUUAAAGUGGUACGCGAGCUGGGUUUAGAACGUCGUGAGACAGUUCGGUCCCUAUCUGCCGUGGGCGCUGGAGAACUGAGGGGGGCUGCUCCUAGUACGAGAGGACCGGAGUGGACGCAUCACUGGUGUUCGGGUUGUCAUGCCAAUGGCACUGCCCGGUAGCUAAAUGCGGAAGAGAUAAGUGCUGAAAGCAUCUAAGCACGAAACUUGCCCCGAGAUGAGUUCUCCCUGACUCCUUGAGAGUCCUGAAGGAACGUUGAAGACGACGACGUUGAUAGGCCGGGUGUGUAAGCGCAGCGAUGCGUUGAGCUAACCGGUACUAAUGAACCAUGAGGCUUAACCUUACAACGCCGAAG
rnacentral:rRNA from 1 species